UACGAAGGGGGCUAGCGUUGCUCGGAAUCACUGGGCGUAAAGCGCGCGUAGGCGGAUCGUUAAGUCGGGGGUGAAAUCCUGGAGCUCAACUCCAGAACUGCCUUUGAUACUGGCGAUCUUGAGUCCGGGAGAGGUGAGUGGCGAACUCCGAGUGUAGAGGUGAAAUUCGUAGAUAUCUGGAGGAAUACCGGUGGCGAAGGCGGCAUCCUGGACCGAGAUUGACGCUGAACGGCGAAAGCUA
rnacentral:rRNA from 1 species